CUGCCAAGGGCAUGGCUGGGUAGCUAUGUACGGAAUGGAUAAGCGCUGAAAGCAUCUAAGCGCGAAGCCAACUUCAAGAUAAGAUUUCCCACCGCAAGGGUAAGACCCCAGAAAGACUAACUGGUUGAUAGGUCGAAGGUGUAAGUGCAGCAAUGUAUUUAGCUUAUCGAUACUAAUAGGUCGAGGACUUGACCAAU
rnacentral:rRNA from 1 species